rnacentral:tRNA from 1 species
GUGGGUAUAGCUCAGUGGCAGAGUGUGUGUGUGCUUGGCAUGCACAAGGUCCUGGGUUCAAUCCCCAGUACCUCCA